CGUGUAGGCGGCCAUGUAGGUCCGGUGUGAAAACUCGAGGCUUAACCUCGAGAUGUCAUCGGAAACCAUUUGGCUAGAGUCCGGAAGAGGAGAGUGGAAUUCCUGGUGUAGCGGUGAAAUGCGCAGAUAUCAGGAAGAACACCAAUGGCGAAAGCAGCUCUCUGGGACGGUACUGACGCUGAGCGCGAAAGCGUGGGAGCGAACA
rnacentral:rRNA from 1 species